GCUGGGCAUGGUGGCUCGUGCCUGUAAUCCCAGCAAUGUGGGAGGCUGAGGCAGGAGGAUUACAAGUUUAAGGCCAGCCUUAGCAAUUUAGCAAGGCCCUGAGCAACUCAGUGAGACCCUGUCUCUA
rnacentral:sRNA from 1 species